GUGCCAGCCGCCGCGGUAAGACAGAGGUGCCAAGCGUUAGGCGGAAUCACUGGGCUUAAAGCGUGUGUAGGCGGAACGUUAAGUGCCUUGUGAAAUCCCACGGCUCAACCGUGGAACUGCUGGGCAUACUGGCGUUCUUGAGCCAGCCAGGGGUCGUCGGAACAAACGGUGGAGCGGUGAAAUGCGUAGAUAUCGUUUGGAACGCCAAAGGCGAAAGCAGACGACUGGGGCUGAGCUGACGCUGAGACACGAAAGCCAGGGGAGCAAACGGGAUUAGAUACCCCCGUAGUCC
rnacentral:rRNA from 1 species